rnacentral:rRNA from 1 species
UGGCUGUCGUCAGCUCGUGUCGUGAGAUGUUGGGUUAAGUCCCGCAACGAGCGCAACCCCUCGCAUUCAGUUGCCAUCGGUGAGGCCGGGCACUCUGGAUGGACUGCCGGCGACAAGCCGGAGGAAGGUGGGGACGACGUCAAGUCAUCAUGGCCCUUAUGUCCAGGGCGACACACGUGCUACAAUGGCCGGCACAGCGGGAAGCGAAGGGGCGACUCUGAGCGGAUCCCUUAAAGCCGGUCCCAGUUCGGAUUGCAGUCUGCAACUCGACUGCAUGAAGUUGGAAUCGCUAGUAAUCGUGGAUCAGCCAAGCCGCGGUGAAUACGUUCCCGGGCCUU